UCAUUGUCUUACUUUUGUUUCUUUUUUAAAAAUGAUUGAGUCAAGGGUUUUGGUGAUUAAUUGUACUUCCUGAAAUAUUCGUGAGUUUAUUGUAAGUUGUUUGUUAUUGUUUUCUGUAAGUUCCUUAAUUUUAUUUUCAAUUCUUAUUAAGUCGUCAUGGUCGGGUGUACCUGAUAGCCACUUCCAUACUGUUCCCAAUUCGUUAAUACCCCUUUUAUUUCUAGAUGGUAAUAGUUGGGAAAUGAGGAUUUUAAUAAUGCUUAAAUUUUGUGCAAUGUCCCAGAAUUCAGACUUUUAUUACUAAUACUAUUUCAAUUUGAAUUAUUUCUUUGUAAAAACUUAAGUUAGUAAUAUGGAAUAGGUCCUCAAAGGAGUCGUAAUUCAUUACAUCGUUUUCGUUUUUAAGUAGUAAAUACUCGUUGUUAGUGUAGUCAAUAAUUUCCGAGUGGCAAAAAGUUAUUAAAAUAGCGAUGACAAAUGGGAUUUCCAUCGUCUGUAAAGCCUAGUAUCCAGAUCGACAAACGAUUAUGCUAGCGUAAAAACUUUAAUCUUUCCAGUGUGACCAAAGUUUCGAGAGUUCAUCCGAACUGAGCUUACUACGGUCUUACUGUCAAUCAGCUGGGUUUGUUGACAAACAAAAAACCAAACAAAGUUAAAUUAAACGAAAAUGUAGAGUUCAAAAAACACAAGCUUGAUUUUGGUUGUCAGCAUGGCGGCGUGUAUUGUAGCAUUAGAGGAAGAGGACAAAGGACAGCGGCGGAAAUAUUGGAUGAGUUCAUUUCUGCAGGAAAGGGCCCUUUAAGGCCGAUAUGCUUCCGACUUUCAAAACUUGUUUUUCGAAAACUUUCAUAUGCCUCAGAAGACUUUUAACACUCUUUUUGGAAUGGUGGAGCAGUACCUUAUACCGAAACGGAACACUUGCCCAGAUGCUAUACCAAUAAAGGCCAAGUUGGCCAUCGUUUUAGAAUUUCUUGCCUCUGGAGACCUGCCACGCCGGAUCAGUAAGCAACAUUUUGGAGUGAUUCUCCUCCAGGUGUCUAUUGCCAUUUGGACUGCUUUGCGGGAUGAAUUCCCCAAGUGGACGACGGGGAAUAUGCUGAUGUGGGUUAAAGGCUUCAAAGACGAAUGGAACUUUUCUAAUUGUAUUGGAGCAGUCGACGGAAAGCAUGUGGCGAUAAAAGGCCCGCCAAAUAGCGGAAGCCUUUUUUACAAUUAAAAGGGCUUUCAUUCGAUUGUGCCUAUGGCAAUCUGCAACGCUCACUAUCGCUUCAACUACUUUGAUAUGGGGCUUUUCGUAGCGAGGGAGACAUGAAUGCCCUCUCCCACAGCGAUCUUGGCAAACAGUUGCUCUUAGACCAGCUGCCCUUUCCGGAGGACAAUGUUAUAAACGGCCAUCGAACCCCUUAUUACAUUGUUGGUGAUGAUGCGCAUCAUGAAGCCGUAUAGUGGCAAGGAUCUGCGACUUGCGACCCUGCCGACGAGGUCGCCCACAAGACUUCAGUAAGGAGGUUCGAAACAACCUUAAAGAAUAUUUAAACGGAAGUGCUGGAUAUUCUCAAGUACCUUGGCAAGACGAGUCUGCCGG